rnacentral:lncRNA from 1 species
UCAAGGGCAUCUUUUAGGAAGCUUGGAAAUCAUGUUAAUGGCAUUCAAAAAAUGCUAUACAAAAAUGAAAAACUUUAAAUAGUUGAAAAAGUAAUUGGAAAUUUGUUUCUAAAUUCUCUUAUCCAUGAUUCUCUAAGUAAGUCCAUGACAGAUCUCUGUACAAGACCGGGUAAAACUGCAAUUGUGGAGUAGGGAUGUGGUUAUAGAUGUAGAAGAUGAGAUUCGUUUGCUUUUGCUGGAAUCAGGGGAAGGAAUUGAACACGUUUUGGAUCG